rnacentral:misc_RNA from 1 species
UAGAGGAAGUAAAAGUCGUAACAAGGUCUCCGUUGGUGAACCAGCGGAGGGAUCAUUACUGAGUUACAAACUCCAAACCUUUGUGAACAUACCACAGUUGCUUCGGCGGCCUCGCCCCGGGCGCGGCGGAACCCUUCGGGGGACCGCGGCGACCCGGACCCAGGCGACCGCCGGGGGACCCAAACUCUUGUCUUUUAGUGUAUUAUCUGAGUGGCAUAAGCAAAAUAAAUCAAAACUUUCAGCAACGGAUCUCUUGGUUCUGGCAUCGAUGAAGAACGCAGCGAAAUGCGAUAAGUAAUGUGAAUUGCAGAAUUCAGUGAAUCAUCGAAUCUUUGAACGCACAUUGCGCCCGCCAGUACUCUGGCGGGCAUGCCUGUCCGAGCGUCAUUUCAACCCUCAGCACCCCCGUUCGCGGCGGGAGCUGGCGUUGGGGAUCGGCCGUCCUCUGCGGCGGCCGGCCCCGAAACGAAGUGGCGGUCACGUCGCGACCUCCUCUGCGUAGUAGCAAUAUCUCGCAGCCUGGAUAGCGGCGCGGCCAUGCCGUAAAACCCCAACUAUAUCAAGGUUGACCUCGGAUCAGG